CGAAGCAUCACAGAGCGGUCCACCCCACCCCCCUCCGCUCACUUCCUCUCUCACGUGCCCUCCACACACCCCUCAUACCGCGCCACAAACCGCACGCAGCAGCCUCCUCCUCCCCCUCGCCCUCGCCCGCUCCCCUCUCUCGCGAGUAAGACGAGCGCACGCGUAUGUGCACACCCGCACAUCUGCAUCCUUUCCCUUUUCGUCGCCUGUCACCUCUCGUUGGAUGUGUGUGUGUGUGUGUGUGUGUGGUUGACGCGGACUUGUCGUUACACCCACUAACACGCGCGUCCCACGCACGUCCACGGCGAGACACGCGCCGCGGCACACAUACACAUACGUACGCGCACGUGUAAGUAGCCAUUCUGACGUGCGAGCCGGCAAGCGUGCUGCUCAAGGAUCGAGAGGUGCCUCUCUUCAUCAAGGGUUUCUCUGUUAUAACCUGGGCUCGCCCUGUGAGGUGUGCACCGAGGCGGCAUUUAUUGUUGUUGCUGUUGGCUUCCUGCGGUUCUCUGACGCAUUCCCUCUCCCUUGCCCACUCCAUCCCCGCACCCCACCUCGCCCGCUCCCGUGCCGGCAAACACACGAUGCAGAGCAACGCCCCCUUCGACCCGGAGCGCGAGGCGCUGCGCAACGAAGCCAUCAAGAAGACAGUGGAGCGCAACGUCACGCAGGCUCGCUUGAAGAAGGUGAACGACGACGUCAAGCUGCAGCAGCGUGAGCUGGACAAGGUGGAGGAUCAAGUCAACGCCCUCCUCAGCAUUGGCCAUUACGUGGGUGAAGUGCUCAAGCGCGUCGAUGAGGAGCGCUUCAUCGUGAAGAGCAUCAGCGGUGCGCGUCACCUCGUCGGCUACCGCAAGAGCAUCAAGCCGGAGAAGCUCAAGUUCGGCGCUCGUGUCGCGCUGGAAAUUACGACCUUCACGAUCGUGAAGGUGCUGCCGCGCGAGGUGGACCCGCAGGUGUACAGCAUGCAGUACAUGUCCAGUGACAAGGAUGUGUCCUUCCAGGACAUUGGUGGGCUGCAGCCGCAGAUGCGUCAGAUGCGUGAAGUGAUCGAGCUUCCCCUGACGAACCCGGAACUGUUCGUGCGCGUCGGUAUUGCGCCGCCGAAGGGCGUACUGCUGUACGGGCCGCCCGGCACCGGCAAGACGCUGCUGGCCAAGGCCAUCGCCGCGAACGUGGAUGCCGCGUUCCUCAAGAUCGUCGCCUCUUCCAUUGUCGACAAGUACAUUGGCGAGUCCGCCCGCGUCAUCCGCGAGAUGUUCGCCUACGCGCGUGAGCAUGAGCCGUGCAUCAUCUUCAUUGAUGAGGUGGAUGCCAUCGGCAGCAAGCGUAUCGAGGGCUCGUCCUCCGAUCGCGAAAUACAGCGCACACUUAUGGAGCUGCUCAACCAGAUGGACGGCUUUGACAAGCUAGGCAAGGUGAAGGUGAUCAUGGCGACGAACCGGCCCGACACGCUCGAUGCGGCGCUGAUGCGGCCUGGCCGCCUCGACCGCAAGAUCGAGAUCCCGUUGCCGAACGAGGCGGGGCGGCUCGAUAUUCUCCGCAUUCACUCGGCGAAGAUAACGAAAAAGGGAGACAUCGACUUCGAGAGCGUCGUGAAGCUGUCGGAGGGCUUCAACGGUGCUGAUCUACGCAACGUGUGCACGGAGGCCGGCAUGUUCGCCAUCCGCGCCGGCCGAGACUACGUCGAGAACGACGACUUCAACAAGGCCGUCCGCAAGGUGGCUGAUAUGAAGCGGCUGGAGGGUACGGCGCACCAGUACUCAGACCAGUAGGAAGUAGUCGACGACGAUGAUGACGACGGCGACGGCACAGAGAGAGCCUCUGUCUGUCUUCGUGUGAGUGUGUACGCAGUUGUCGUUCCUGUAUGGCGCGGCUAUGUUCCUCCUCCCUCUCCGUGAUUAUAGUUAUUUCCUGGACAAGGAUGAUGGUAUGGUGGCUGUUGGUGUUGUCCCGCCCCUUGCUUGAUGCUGUGGGCUGUUCAUGUGUGCACAUGCGCGUGUCGGUGUCGGUGUAGUCGUACGUGUGAGAGUGGUGGCCGGCCACUCGAAAAGAGGGGGUGGUGGGUGGGGCCACGCGUGGCAUGCCUCUCGUUCUCUCAUAACAGAGACAUCAGCAGCGGGCGCGCACGGCCCCCACCACCGCCACCACCCUCUCCCUCUCCCCACCCUCUUCCUCCUUUCUCUUGAUCUCCCUCUUCGUUGUCGGCUGUUGCAUCAGGCGGUGUGUGCACGGUUGUGCGUGUGGGGAUGCUCGCCUGUCUGUCGCUCGGUGUGUCUGCUUGUGAUAUCCCCUCUCGUGUCUCCCACGGCCCCCGUCGUCUCUCGAAGGAGGUCGGCACCGCAUGAGCGGCAGAGGAGGGGUGUGGUUGCGCUUGGGAACCAUUGCAGGCGCACGCAUGCACACGCCGUGGCAACGGAAAGAGAGGGUUGAGGGCGUCCACGGAGGCGCGAGAGCCGAAGCGGAAGAGCGGCAGGGCUGUGGUAUCAUUGAGUGUUCUCUGUGCAGGAAAAGGCGCGCGAGGAGAACACCACAGACACGGUCUCACAUGCACACGCUUCUCUCUCUGUCUCGCCUCGUCCGCACAGCCCCCCCCCAGUGUAUCCCACACACACACACACACACACACACUCCCCCGAGCCCAUCCCCUUGCUGCGCGUGACAGCACACGAAACAUGCAUCCCUCACCGCAGCCCACCCACCCCACCCCCGCUCCCUGCACUGUCGUCCGUUCAUGUCUCUCUCUAUCUCCAAGUACGUGUGCGUGUGCGUCUGCGCCUGUAAGCUACCGUGACUUCCUCUCGUCUUCCUCCCUUCACCUCUGUGGGUCGGUGUCCCGUGGGAGAGAGAAGCAGCCUGUCCGUGCUCAUUAUGCUCGCUCGCACCCGUGUGCGUUAUGUGUGGCGCUCCCCCGUCUCUCCCCAUGCACGCGCUCCAGCGGAUGAACUAG
rnacentral:misc_RNA from 1 species